rnacentral:snRNA from 1 species
GUGCUCACUUCUGCAGCACAUAUACUAAAAUUGGAACAAUACAGAGAAGAUUAGCAUGGUCCGUGCUCAAGGAUGACACGCAAAUUCGUGAAGCAUUCCAUGUUUUU